GCCUGGUUGGCUCAGUCAGUGGAGCAUGUGACUCCUGAUCUCAGGGUUGUGGGUUCGAGCCCCACGCUGGGUG
rnacentral:tRNA from 1 species